rnacentral:lncRNA from 1 species
AUGUACAUAGCGACACAGAUGACUGAUGAAAUCACUACCCCAGUAAUGCAGCUGAGUAUUAAAGUCAUAGCUACCCAGAUGGCUGAUGAAAUCACUACCCCAGUAACACAGCUGAGUAUUAAAGUCAUAGAUACCCAGAUGGCUGAUGAAAUCACUACCCCAGUAACGCAGCUGAGUAUUAAAGUCAUAGCGACACAGAUGACUGAUGAAAUCACUACCCCAGUAAUGCAGCUGAGUAUUAAAGUCAUAGCUACCCAGAUGACUGAUGAAAUCACUACCCCAGUAACACAGCUGAGUAUUAAAGUCAUAGAUACCCAGAUGGCUGAUGAAAUCACUACCCCAGUAACGCAGCUGAGUAUUAAAGUCAUAGCUACACAGAUGGCUGAUGAAAUCACUACCCCAGUAACGCAGCUGAGUAUUAAAGUCAUAGCUACACAGAUGGCUGAUGAAAUCACUACCCCAGUAACGCAGCUGAGUAUUAAAGUCAUAGUUACCCAGAUGGCUGAUGAAAUCACUACCCCAGUAAUGCAGCUGAGUAUUAAAGUCAUAGCUACCCAGAUGGCUGAUGAAAUCACUACCCCAGUAAUGCAGCUGAGUAUUAAAGUCAUAGCUACCCAGAUGGCUGAUGAAAUCACUACCCCAGUAACGCAGCUGAGUAUUAAAGUCAUAGCUACACAGAUGGCUGAUGAAAUCACUACCCCAGUAACGCAGCUGAGUAUUAAAGUCAUAGCUACACAGAUGGCUGAUGAAAUCACUCCCCCAGUAACGCAGCUGAGUAUUAAAGUCAGAGCUACCCAGAUGACUGAUGAAAUCACUACCCCAGUAACGCAGCUGAGUAUUAAAGUCAUAGCGACACAGAUGACUGAUGAAAUCACUACCCCAGUAACGCAGCUGAGUAUUAAAGUCAUAGCGACAUGGAUGACUGAUGAAAUCAUUACCCCAGUAACGCAGCUGAGUAUUAAAGUCAUAGCUACCCAGAUGACUGAUGAAAUCACUACCCCAGUAACGCAGCUGAGUAUUAAAGUCAUAGCUACACAGAUGACUGAUGAAAUCAUUACCCCAGUAAUGCAGCUGAGUAUUAAAGUCAUAGCGACACGGAUGACUGAUGAAAUCACUACCCCAGUAACGCAGCUGAGUAUUAAAGUCAUAGCUACCCAGAUGACUGAUGAAAUCACUACCCCAGUAACGCAGCUGAGUAUUAAAGUCAUAGCUACACAGAUGACUGAUGAAAUCAUUACCCCAGUAAUGCAGCUGAGUAUUAAAGUCAUAGCGACACGGAUGACUGAUGAAAUCACUACCCCAGUAACGCAGCUGAGUAUUAAAGUCAUAGCUACCCAGAUGACUGAUGAAAUCACUACCCCAGUAACACAGCUGUGUAUUAAAGUCAUAGCUACACAGAUGGCUGAUGAAAUCACUACCCCAGUAACACAGAAUUGA